GAUGAAUCUGAAAGCAGGUCUUAAGUUUGCAAGAUCCUUGCACAGUUGCAUAGUUUCACACUGCUUUUCUUCAUUUAUUCUGUA